AUUGAACGCUGGCGGCAUGCUUUACACAUGCAAGUCGAACGGCAGCACGGGGCCAGCCCUGGUGGCGAGUGGCGAACGGGUGAGUAAUACAUCGGAACGUGCCCGGUCGUGGGGGAUAACGUAGCGAAAGGGACGCUAAUACCGCAUACGAUCUGAGGAUGAAAGCGGGGGACCUUCGGGCCUCGCGCGAUCGGAGCGGCCGAUGUCAGAUUAGGUAGUUGGUGGGUAAAGGCCUACCAAGCCGACGAUCUGUAGCUGGUCUGAGAGGACGACCAGCCACACUGGAACUGAGACACGGCCCAGACUCCUACGGGAGGCAGCAGUGGGGAAUUUUGGACAAUGGGCGCAAGCCUGAUCCAGCCAUGCCGCGUGCAGGACGAAGGCCUUCGGGUUGUAAACUGCUUUUGUUCGGAACGAAAAGGAUCUGGCUAAUACCUGGGGCUCAUGACGGUACCGUAAGAAUAAGCACCGGCUAACUACGUG
rnacentral:rRNA from 1 species